UACGUAGGGUGCAAGCGUUGUCCGGAAUUAUUGGGCGUAAAGAGCUCGUAGGCGGUUCGUCGCGUCGGCUGUGAAAACCCGGAGCUCAACUCCGGGCCUGCAGUCGAUACGGGCGGACUUGAGUUCGGCAGGGGAGACGUGGAAUUCCUGGUGUAGCGGUGAAAUGCGCAGAUAUCAGGAGGAACACCUGUGGCGAAAGCGGCUCACUGGACCAUUACUGACGCUGAUGCGCGAAAGCUAGGGGAGCAAACAGG
rnacentral:rRNA from 1 species